UAAGGGAUAUUAGACAAUGGAGGCAACUCUGAUCCAGCCAUGCCGCGUGAAGGAAUAAGGCCCUAUGGGUUGUAAACUUCUUUUAGACGGGACAAAACCCCUUUACGUGUAAAGGGUUGAUGGUACUGUCAGAAUAAGCAUCGGCUAACUUCGUGCCAGCAGCCGCGGUAAUACGAAGGAUGCAAGCGUUAUCCGGAAUUAUUGGGUUUAAAGGGUGCGUAGGCGGACUAAUAAGUCAGUGGUGAAAGCCUGCAGCUUAACUGCAGAAUUGCCAUUGAUACUGUAAGUCUUGAGUAUAUUUGAGGUAGCUGGAAUAAGUAGUGUAGCGGUGAAAUGCAUAGAUAUUACUUAGAACACCAAUUGCGAAGGCAGGUUACCAAGAUAUAACUGACGCUGAGGGACGAAAGCGUGGGGAGCGAACA
rnacentral:rRNA from 1 species